CGUACCUGAGGAAAGUCCGGGCUCCGCAGGGCAGGAUGCCGGUUAACGGCCGGUGAAGGCGACUUCAAGGAAAGUGCAACAGAAAACAACCGCCCGGUCCAGGCCGGGUAAGGGUGAAAAGGCGAGGCAAGAGCUCACCGCCGCCCUGGUAACAGGACGGGCUGUGUAAACCCCAUCCGGAGCAACACCGCAGAAGAGACGCUUAGUUGGCCCGACAGUCUCAAAGGUGGCUAAAGAGGCGCGGCAACGCGUUUUCGCAGAUAGAUGACCGUUUCAUACAGAACCCGGCUUACGUC
rnacentral:RNase_P_RNA from 1 species